rnacentral:rRNA from 1 species
UUGAGCGCUGAAGGUUGGUACUUGUACCGACUGGAUGAGCAGCGAACCGUUUAAAAGGCGUGGGGAAUCUGCCUUUGAGCGGGGGACAACCUUUUGAAACGAAUGCUAAUACCGCAUAACAACUUUAAACACAAGUUUUAAGUUUGAAAGAUGCAAUUGCAUCACUCAAAGAUGAUCCCGCGUUGUAUUAGCUAGUUGGUGAGGUAAAGGCUCACCAAGGCGAUGAUACAUAGCCGACCUGAGAGGGUGAUCGGCCACAUUGGGACUGAGACACGGCCCAAACUCCUACGGGAGGCAGCAGUAGGGAAUCUUCGGCAAUGGACGAAAGUCUGACCGAGCAACGCCGCGUGAGUGAAGAAGGUUUUCGGAUCGUAAAACUCUGUUGGUAGAGAAGAACGUUGGUGAGAGUGGAAAGCUCAUCAAGUGACGGUAACUACCCAGAAAGGGACGGCUAACUACGUGCCAGCAGCCGCGGUAAUACGUAGGUCCCGAGCGUUGUCCGGAUUUAUUGGGCGUAAAGCGAGCGCAGGUGGUUUAUUAAGUCUGGUGUAAAAGGCAGUGGCUCAACCAUUGUAUGCAUUGGAAACUGGUAGACUUGAGUGCAGGAGAGGAGAGUGGAAUUCCAUGUGUAGCGGUGAAAUGCGUAGAUAUAUGGAGGAACACCGGUGGCGAAAGCGGCUCUCUGGCCUGUAACUGACACUGAGGCUCGAAAGCGUGGGGAGCAAACAGGAUUAGAUACCCUGGUAGUCCACGCCGCAAACGAUGAGUGCUAGAUGUAGGGAGCUAUAAGUUCUCUGU